rnacentral:rRNA from 1 species
GAUGAACGCUAGCGGCAGGCUUAAUACAUGCAAGUCGAGGGGUAGCAAGAUUGUAGCAAUACAAUUGUUGACGACCGGCAAACGGGUGCGGAACACGUACACAACCUUCCUACAAGUGGGGAAUAGCCCAGAGAAAUUUGGAUUAAUACCCCGUAACAUAGCGAUGUGGCAUCACAUUGCUAUUAUAGCUUCUGCGCUUGUUGAUGGGUGUGCGGCUGAUUAGAUAGUAGGCGGGGUAACGGCCCACCAAGUCUACGAUCAGUAGCUGAUGUGAGAGCAUGAUCAGCCACACGGGCACUGAGACACGGGCCCGACUCCUACGGGAGGCAGCAGUAAGGAAUAUUGGACAAUGGACGCAAGUCUGAUCCAGCCAUGCCGCGUGAAGGAUUAAGGUCCUCUGGAUUGUAAACUUCUUUUAUAAGGGACGAAAAAAGGUCUUUCUAGAUCGUCUGACGGUACCUUAUGAAUAAGCACCGGCUAACUCCGUGCCAGCCGCCGCGGUAACAC